UGCAAGUCGAACGGCAGCACAGGAGAGCUUGCUCUCUGGGUGGCGAGUGGCGGACGGGUGAGGAAUACAUCGGAAUCUACUCUGUCGUGGGGGAUAACGUAGGGAAACUUACGCUAAUACCGCAUACGACCUACGGGUGAAAGCAGGGGACCUUCGGGCCUUGCGCGAUUGAAUGAGCCGAUGUCGGAUUAGCUAGUUGGCGGGGUAAAGGCCCACCAAGGCGACGAUCCGUAGCUGGUCUGAGAGGAUGAUCAGCCACACUGGAACUGAGACACGGUCCAGACUCCUACGGGAGGCAGCAGUGGGGAAUAUUGGACAAUGGGCGCAAGCCUGAUCCAGCCAUACCGCGUGGGUGAAGAAGGCCUUCGGGUUGUAAAGCCCUUUUGUUGGGAAAGAAAUCCAGCUGGCUAAUACCCGGUUGGGAUGACGGUACCCAAAGAAUAAGCACCGGCUAACUUCGUGCCAGCAG
rnacentral:rRNA from 1 species